GAAGCAGGGAUUGUGUGUAUCGAUAUGAUGCGUUUUAUGCAUCAAUUUAUCGAAAGAGUUCUCUGCAAAAUUAAUUUUAGGGGAAGAUGGGCAGUUGUGUUUCAUCCUCUAUUGAUUUUUUCAACAAUCAUCUUCCCUAAAUUU